GCGUUGGAAUAAAGAAUUGUUUUCGAGGCAAACAAAAAAAGUUCUCCUCUUUGCAGAGGAGAGCUUCGACUUUUGUCGAUAACUCAAAACCUUGGGGAAAGUCCUCCUGACUCUGAUAGAAAGUAUCAGUUUUAACUAACGGGGGAUUUCAUCUUUCUGUCGAAGAGGGUUUUUACCCAAAAAGUAAACACCUGAGACUUAAGAGAGAUGAGGUCUUCUUAUCAAUAGCAAAGUUAUACAAUUCUAAGAACACAAGGAGGCUCACUUUAUUCCAACG
rnacentral:RNase_MRP_RNA from 2 species